rnacentral:rRNA from 1 species
GACGAACGCUGGCGGUGUGCUUAACACAUGCAAGUCGAACGGAAAGGCCCUGCUUUUGUGGGGUGCUCGAGUGGCGAACGGGUGAGUAACACGUGAGUAACCUGCCCUUGACUUUGGGAUAACUUCAGGAAACUGGGGCUAAUACCGGAUAGGAGCUCCUGCUGCAUGGUGGGGGUUGGAAAGUUUCGGCGGUUGGGGAUGGACUCGCGGCUUAUCAGCUUGUUGGUGGGGUAGUGGCUUACCAAGGCUUUGACGGGUAGCCGGCCUGAGAGGGUGACCGGCCACAUUGGGACUGAGAUACGGCCCAGACUCCUACGGGAGGCAGCAGUGGGGAACAUUGCACAAUGGGCGGAAGCCUGAUGCAGCAACGCCGCGUGCGGGAUGACGGCCUUCGGGUUGUAAACCGCUUUCGCCUGUGACGAAGCGUGAGUGACGGUAAUGGGUAAAGAAGCACCGGCUAACUACGUG